CCUACGGGAGGCAGCAGUGAGGAAUAUUGGUCAAUGGACGAGAGUCUGAACCAGCCAAGUAGCGUGAAGGAUGACUGCCCUAUGGGUUGUAAACUUCUUUUAUAUGGGAAUAAAACGUUCCACGUGUGGGAUUUUGUAUGUACCAUAUGAAUAAGGAUCGGCUAACUCCGUGCCAGCAGCCGCGGUAAUACGGAGGAUCCGAGCGUUAUCCGGAUUUAUUGGGUUUAAAGGGAGCGUAGGUGGAUUGUUAAGUCAGUUGUGAAAGUUUGCGGCUCAACCGUAAAAUUGCAGUUGAAACUGGCAGUCUUGAGUACAGUAGAGGUGGGCGGAAUUCGUGGUGUAGCGGUGAAAUGCUUAGAUAUCACGAAGAACUCCGAUUGCGAAGACAGUUCACUGGACUGCAACUGACACUGAGGCUCGAAAGUGUGGGUAUCAAACAGGAUUAGAUACCCUUGUAGUC
rnacentral:rRNA from 1 species